rfam:Salmo salar isolate Sally breed double haploid chromosome ssa04, whole genome shotgun sequence.
UGUAGCUCAGUUGGUAGAGCAUGGCGCUUGCAAUGCCAGGAUAGUGGGUUCAAUUCCCAGGGCCA